GACGAACGCUGGCGGCGUGCCUAAUACAUGCAAGUUGAGCGAUGAAGCUUGGUGCUUGCACCAAUUUGAAGAGCAGCGAACGGGUGAGUAACGCGUGGGGAAUCUGCCUUUGAGCGGGGGAUAACAUUUGGAAACGAAUGCUAAUACCGCAUAACAACUUUAAACAUAAGUUUUAAGUUUGAAAGAUGCAAUUGCAUCACUCAAAGAUGAUCCCGCGUUGUAUUAGCUAGUUGGUGAGGUAAAGGCUCACCAAGGCGAUGAUACAUAGCCGACCUGAGAGGGUGAUCGGCCACAUUGGGACUGAGACACGGCCCAAACUCCUACGGGAGGCAGCAGUAGGGAAUCUUCGGCAAUGGACGAAAGUCUGACCGAGCAACGCCGCGUGAGUGAAGAAGGUUUUCGGAUCGUAAAACUCUGUUGGUAGAGAAGAACGUUGGUGAGAGUGGAAAGCUCAUCAAGUGACGGUAACUACCCAGAAAGGGACGGCUAACUACGUG
rnacentral:rRNA from 1 species